GAAAGGUCGCUUUUCGCCAAAGGCGGCUGGGUGUUUUACCGAGGCACCCCAAUUAGG
rfam:Blautia sp. CAG:237 genomic scaffold, scf120